AAGGAUCAUUACAGAGUUCAUGCCCUCACGGGUAGAUCUCCCACCCUUGAAUACUAUACCUUAGUUGCUUUGGCAGGCCGUGGAAACACCAUGGGCCCCGGCUUGUGCGUGCCUGCCAGAGGAAACAAACUCUGUUUUUAGUGAUGUCUGAGUACUAUAUAAUAGUUAAAACUUUCAACAACGGAUCUCUUGGUUCUGGCAUCGAUGAAGAACGCAGCGAAAUGCGAUAAGUAAUGUGAAUUGCAGAAUUCAGUGAAUCAUCGAAUCUUUGAACGCACAUUGCGCCCCGUGGUAUUCCGCGGGGCAUGCCUGUUCGAGCGUCAUUUCAACCCAUCAAGCUCCGGCUUGGUCUUGGGGCCUGCGGUCUCGCAGCCUCUAAACUCAGUGGCGGUGCUAUUGAGCUCUGAGCGUAGUAAUUUUUUCUCGCUAUAGGGUCUCGGUGGUGACUUGCCAGCAACCCCCAAUUUUUAUCAGGUUGACCUCGGAUCAGGUAGGGAUACCCGCUGAACUUAA
rnacentral:rRNA from 1 species